rnacentral:rRNA from 1 species
CCUACGGGGGGCUGCAGUGAGGAAUAUUGGUCAAUGGGAGAGAUCCUGAACCAGCCAAGCCGCGUGAGGGAGGACGGUCCUAUGUGUUGUAAACCUCUUUUGUCGGAGAACAAAACCCGGGACGUGUCCCGGACUGCGUGUACCCGAAGAAAAAGCAUCGGCUAACUCCGUGCCAGCAGCCGCGGUAAUACGGAGGAUGCGAGCGUUAUCCGGAUUUAUUGGGUUUAAAGGGUGCGGAGGCGGUCCGUUAAGUCAGCGGUAAAAGUGCGGGGCUCAACCCCGGCGCGCCGUUGAAACUGGCAGACUCGAGUUGGCGAGAAGUACGCGGAAUGCGCGGUGUAGCGGUGAAAUGCAUAGAUAUCGCGCAGAACUCCGAUUGCGAAGGCAGCGUACCGGCUCCAGACUGACGCUGAGGCACGAAAGCGUGGGGAUCGAACAGGAUUAGAUACCCUUGUAGUC